UACAGAGGGUGCGAGCGUUGUCCGGAAUCACUGGGCGUAAAGGGCGCGUAGGCGGCCCGAUAAGAAGGGGGUGAAAUCCUGCGGCUCAACCGCAGGGCUGCCCUCUAGACUGUCGGGCUCGAGCACAGUAGAGGCAGGUGGAAUUUCCGGUGUAGCGGUGGAAUGCGUAGAGAACGGGAAGAACAUCGGUGGCGGAGGCGGCCUGCUGGGCUGUUGCUGACGCUGAGGCGCGACAGCGUGGGGAGCAAACAGG
rnacentral:rRNA from 1 species